ACGGCUCAGUAACACGUGGACAACCUGCCCAAAGGUCCGGGAUAACCCCGGGAAACUGGGGAUAAUACCGGAUAAAUCACAGGUACUGGAAGGUCUUGUGGUUGAAACUUCCGGGGCCUUUGGAUGGGUCUGCGGCGGAUUAGGUUGUUGCCGGUGUAACGUACCGUCAAGCCUGUAAUCCGUACGGGUUGUGGGAGCAAGAGCCCGGAGAUGGAUUCUGAGACACGAAUCCAGGCCCUACGGGGCGCAGCAGGCGCGAAAACUCUACAAUGCAGGCAACUGCGAUAGGGGAACAUCGAGUGAUACUCAUCUUGGGUGUCUGUCCUCCCGUCUAAAAAACGGGAGUUAGCAAGGGCCGGGCAAGACCGGUGCCAGCCGCCGCGGUAAUACCGGCGGCUCGAGUGGUGGCCGAUAUUAUUGAGUCUAAAGGGUCCGUAGCCGGCUUUGCAAGUCUUUUGGGAAAUCCAGCGGCUUAACCGUUGGUCGUCCGGGAGAUACUACAUUGCUUGGGACUGGGAGAGGUAGGAGGUACUCAGGGGGUAGGAGUGAAAUCCUGUAAUCCUUUGGGGACCACCGGUGGCGAAGGCGUCCUACCAGAACAGGUCCGACGGUGAGGGACGAAAGCUAGGGGCACGAACCGGAUUAGAUACCCGGGUAGUCCUAGCCGUAAACGAUGCUCGCUAGGUGUCACAACAAUCGUGAAUUGUUGUGGUGCCGUAGGGAAGCCGUGAAGCGAGCCACUUGGGAAGUACGACCGCAAGGUUGAAACUUAAAGGAAUUGGCGGGGGAGCAC
rnacentral:rRNA from 1 species